AAAGGAAUUGACGGGGACCCGCACAAGCAGCGGAGCAUGUGGUUUAAUUCGAAGCAACGCGAAAAACCUUACCAAGACUUGACAUUGUGCGCAUAUCUAUGAAAGUAGUGAAUUUGAAGCAAUUCAACGCAUAAACAGAUGGUGCAUGGUUGUCGUCAGCUCGUGUCGUGAGAUGUUGGGUUAAGUCCCGCAACGAGCGCAACCCCUACUGUUAGUUGCCAUCAUUAAGUUGGGCACUCUGGCAGAACUGCCGUAGAUAAUACGGAGGAAGGUGGGGAUGACGUCAAAUCAUCAUGCCUCUUACGUCUUGGGCUACACACGUGCUACAAUGGCCAUCACAAAGAGCUGCAAUAUGGUAACAUGGAGCGAAUCUCAAAAAAAUGGUCUCAGUUCGGACUGUGGGCUGCAACUCGCCCACACGAAGUCGGAGUUGCUAGUAAUCCCGAAUCAGAAUGUCGGGGUGAAUGCGUUCCCGGGUCUUGUACACACCGCCCGU
rnacentral:rRNA from 1 species